AGCGUACACGGUGGAUGCCCUGGCAGUCAGAGGCGAUGAAGGACGUGCUAAUCUGCGAUAAGCGUCGGUAAGGUGAUAUGAACCGUUAUAACCGGCGAUUUCCGAAUGGGGAAACCCAGUGUGUUUCGACACACUAUCAUUAACUGAAUCCAUAGGUUAAUGAGGCGAACCGGGGGAACUGAAACAUCUAAGUACCCCGAGGAAAAGAAAUCAACCGAGAUUCCCCCAGUAGCGGCGAGCGAACGGGGAGCAGCCCAGAGCCUGAAUCAGUGUGUGUGUUAGUGGAAGCGUCUGGAAAGGCGCGCGAUACAGGGUGACAGCCCCGUACACAAAAAUGCACAUGCUGUGAGCUCGAUGAGUAGGGCGGGACACGUGGUAUCCUGUCUGAAUAUGGGGGGACCAUCCUCCAAGGCUAAAUACUCCUGACUGACCGAUAGUGAACCAGUACCGUGAGGGAAAGGCGAAAAGAACCCCGGCGAGGGGAGUGAAAAAGAACCUGAAACCGUGUACGUACAAGCAGUGGGAGCACGCUUAGGCGUGUGACUGCGUACCUUUUGUAUAAUGGGUCAGCGACUUAUAUUCUGUAGCAAGGUUAACCGAAUAGGGGAGCCGAAGGGAAACCGAGUCUUAACUGGGCGUUAAGUUGCAGGGUAUAGACCCGAAACCCGGUGAUCUAGCCAUGGGCAGGUUGAAGGUUGGGUAACACUAACUGGAGGACCGAACCGACUAAUGUUGAAAAAUUAGCGGAUGACUUGUGGCUGGGGGUGAAAGGCCAAUCAAACCGGGAGAUAGCUGGUUCUCCCCGAAAGCUAUUUAGGUAGCGCCUCGUGAAUUCAUCUCCGGGGGUAGAGCACUGUUUCGGCAAGGGGGUCAUCCCGACUUACCAACCCGAUGCAAACUGCGAAUACCGGAGAAUGUUAUCACGGGAGACACACGGCGGGUGCUAACGUCCGUCGUGAAGAGGGAAACAACCCAGACCGCCAGCUAAGGUCCCAAAGUCAUGGUUAAGUGGGAAACGAUGUGGGAAGGCCCAGACAGCCAGGAUGUUGGCUUAGAAGCAGCCAUCAUUUAAAGAAAGCGUAAUAGCUCACUGGUCGAGUCGGCCUGCGCGGAAGAUGUAACGGGGCUAAACCAUGCACCGAAGCUGCGGCAGCGACGCUUAUGCGUUGUUGGGUAGGGGAGCGUUCUGUAAGCCUGUGAAGGUGUACUGUGAGGUAUGCUGGAGGUAUCAGAAGUGCGAAUGCUGACAUAAGUAACGAUAAAGCGGGUGAAAAGCCCGCUCGCCGGAAGACCAAGGGUUCCUGUCCAACGUUAAUCGGGGCAGGGUGAGUCGACCCCUAAGGCGAGGCCGAAAGGCGUAGUCGAUGGGAAACAGGUUAAUAUUCCUGUACUUGGUGUUACUGCGAAGGGGGGACGGAGAAGGCUAUGUUGGCCGGGCGACGGUUGUCCCGGUUUAAGCGUGUAGGCUGGUUUUCCAGGCAAAUCCGGAAAAUCAAGGCUGAGGCGUGAUGACGAGGCACUACGGUGCUGAAGCAACAAAUGCCCUGCUUCCAGGAAAAGCCUCUAAGCAUCAGGUAACAUCAAAUCGUACCCCAAACCGACACAGGUGGUCAGGUAGAGAAUACCAAGGCGCUUGAGAGAACUCGGGUGAAGGAACUAGGCAAAAUGGUGCCGUAACUUCGGGAGAAGGCACGCUGAUAUGUAGGUGAAGCGACUUGCUCGUGGAGCUGAAAUCAGUCGAAGAUACCAGCUGGCUGCAACUGUUUAUUAAAAACACAGCACUGUGCAAACACGAAAGUGGACGUAUACGGUGUGACGCCUGCCCGGUGCCGGAAGGUUAAUUGAUGGGGUUAGCGCAAGCGAAGCUCUUGAUCGAAGCCCCGGUAAACGGCGGCCGUAACUAUAACGGUCCUAAGGUAGCGAAAUUCCUUGUCGGGUAAGUUCCGACCUGCACGAAUGGCGUAAUGAUGGCCAGGCUGUCUCCACCCGAGACUCAGUGAAAUUGAACUCGCUGUGAAGAUGCAGUGUACCCGCGGCAAGACGGAAAGACCCCGUGAACCUUUACUAUAGCUUGACACUGAACAUUGAGCCUUGAUGUGUAGGAUAGGUGGGAGGCUUUGAAGUGUGGACGCCAGUCUGCAUGGAGCCGACCUUGAAAUACCACCCUUUAAUGUUUGAUGUUCUAACGUUGACCCGUAAUCCGGGUUGCGGACAGUGUCUGGUGGGUAGUUUGACUGGGGCGGUCUCCUCCUAAAGAGUAACGGAGGAGCACGAAGGUUGGCUAAUCCUGGUCGGACAUCAGGAGGUUAGUGCAAUGGCAUAAGCCAGCUUGACUGCGAGCGUGACGGCGCGAGCAGGUGCGAAAGCAGGUCAUAGUGAUCCGGUGGUUCUGAAUGGAAGGGCCAUCGCUCAACGGAUAAAAGGUACUCCGGGGAUAACAGGCUGAUACCGCCCAAGAGUUCAUAUCGACGGCGGUGUUUGGCACCUCGAUGUCGGCUCAUCACAUCCUGGGGCUGAAGUAGGUCCCAAGGGUAUGGCUGUUCGCCAUUUAAAGUGGUACGCGAGCUGGGUUUAGAACGUCGUGAGACAGUUCGGUCCCUAUCUGCCGUGGGCGCUGGAGAACUGAGGGGGGCUGCUCCUAGUACGAGAGGACCGGAGUGGACGCAUCACUGGUGUUCGGGUUGUCAUGCCAAUGGCACUGCCCGGUAGCUAAAUGCGGAAGAGAUAAGUGCUGAAAGCAUCUAAGCACGAAACUUGCCCCGAGAUGAGUUCUCCCUGACUCCUUGA
rnacentral:rRNA from 1 species